rnacentral:lncRNA from 1 species
AAAAAAUUUGAUAUUACAUUAAUGCUAACACUAUUAAGAAACCUUACAGACAUAACUAAUAAUGAUGAUGUUGGAUUUGACUUUAUACCUACUGCCAUUGAAACCACACCACGUGCAAAUUUAGCAAGGAUUAAGAACUACAGGAACAACCUUGCCCAUCUAGAUGAAGGGAAAGUAGAAAGUUCAUACCUAAACAUCGCAUGGAAUGAUUUAACUGGGGUAAGAAUGUUAUUAAUUUUGCCGGGAUCCAUUACUCAACACAACUGGUAAUAUACACUGACGAACUUUAAAAACGCAACACAAGAUUAAUCAUUUCCAUUUUCAUUUUCAAAUACGUUACACUUGUAAAAUGGAUUAAUAAAAAUAAAUGUUAUACUUAUUCAUUACUUCAUUGUCUACAUGAAGUUUUCAGUUCGAACGUUGAUUUGAUAACGUCACAGUAAUUUUCAAAUCAUGUGAUAUGCACAAAAAAAUCUCUGUUUUUCCUCUUAUCAAUGGAUGUGUGACCGUCAAAGGCAAUGACUACUCAUAACCAAUCGUCAAAGUAAUUGUCAAAAAAGUCAAUCAGUUCUGUUUGGCAUGUUUUGAUUUCUGUUUUGUUCCUUCUGAUUUUACAUCUGUUUUACCAAUUACAGUUUGUUUUGGGAAUUAUACAAUUUAAUCUGUCGCCCAUAACAGUAUUUUACUGCACGGUCAAUUCUUUGGCAUUUCAGUAUAUUAGAAAACAGUUAUGACGUGGUUCUCUCUGCCUUAGCAUCCAACGAUUCAAUUAGCAGUUGACGUUGAAAUCGGAAACAUAUCUCGUAAAUGUCAUAACUUAGCGCUUUCACUAUAUAGUAUAUAUUGAUUUGGUCAUGGGUGAUCAUUAACAAUUUUAUUCUGCCUAAAGCGUUGUUUCAAAGAGACAACAACCAGUUUUAGAAUAGAAAUCAGCCGAAGGUCACCAAUGGGUCUUCAACACAGUGAGAAAAUCCCAUACCCGAACAGACUUGGGGUAAUUGUAAUUGUAAUCAUUAAUCAGCUGUAAUUGAUUACAAUUUUUCAAGUAAUCAGUGUAAUCAUUAAUCAGCCAAAAAUCUGAUUACAUGUAAUUUAAUUUAAUCAAUUACUUUUCAAAAUACCCUGUAAUCAUGAUUACUUUUUGAUUACAUUCUGAUUACAAUGAAAAAAAUCUAAAAUUGUGUUUUUGGUCAUUAAAUGAACCUCUUUGUUCAUAUUUGAUAAAUUUUUAACAUACUAAAAUGGUUUGGUUACUUUAAGCUUGUCUACUUCAGUAAAAAAUAAACUGUUACAGUAUUGAAAAGUCAUCAUUAGCCUAAGCAGAGACAUAUAAUACAAUUAUAUACCUUUUAUCUUGGUAAAAGAUAUUGUACAUACAUGUAUAGUCAUCGUUUUAUAAUGAUCUUCAUAUUAAUAUUUGAUUAUAACUGUUAUAUAUUCAAGUAAUACUUUUCAUUAACCCUGAAUUAUAAUCUUUUGUUAAUUUUUGUGAUUUUGUCAACUUUGAAUUGACAGGUAGGAGACUAAUUAAGGUUUGUUUUUAUUGCAAUUACCAAUUGAGUAUAGCUGUAGGGAAAUAUAUAUGAUAAAAGAUAAAUCAGACAUGAAAAUUUAUCUAAUUAGCACAAACUAAAUUAAUAGUUGGACAAAUAUGUUGUUUAAACUUUUUUUUUUAUUUGGACUGGACGUGUAAAAUGCAAUAGUUUUUAGUACUUUAAUACAUAUUGUUUACAAUUUGAUUAAACAUUUUUAUUAAAAUUUAACAUAGUUUUAACUGGUACAAAUGUAACUUUAUUUCAUCCAUAUUUAAACUUCCAUAAACUGCAACUUGGAAUACAUAUAAAUUAUGAAAGAGGUCAGAAGUAUCUGAUUAAAUUAAUGAUUACAUUUGCAAAGUAAUCAUGAUUACAUCUGAUUACAAUGAAUUUAAAAACAAAACAUUUUGAAUGAUGUGGAUGAAUAAACGUUUAAUAUAACUAUAGCAUUUUUGAGAACGUAUUUUAUUUGGUUCAAUUAUAAAAUGAUAACUUCAAAUUAAACGUCAUCUAUUUAAAUAAAAAAACUCUUGAUUAUGAUAUAUCUUUAUUAAAUUUAAUUCAAAAUAAUUUAGAGAACAUUUGUGAUAAAGUGUAAUGUAUAAAUAUGUUGUGAAAUUUGGUGUUUAUUUAAAUAGAUGACGUUUAAUUUGAAGUUAUCAUUUUAUAAUUGAACCAAAUAAAAUACGUUCUCAAAAAUGCUAUAGUUAUAUUAAACGUUUAUUCAUCCACAUCAUUCAAAAUGUUUUGUUUUUAAAUUCAUUGUAAUCAGAUGUAAUCAUGAUUACUUUGCAAAUGUAAUCAUUAAUUUAAUCAGAUACUUUCAGAAAUGAUGUAAUCAUUAAUUUAAUUUAAUCGUACAAAUGACAAUUGUAAUUUAAUCAAUUACAUUGAAAGUAAUCGGACCCAUCUCUGCACCCGAAGGCGGGUUUCAGCUGGCCCCUAAACAAAAAUGUGUACUAGUUCAGUGAAAAUGGACGGCAUACUAGACAUCCAAACAUAUAACUACAGUUAAAAAUCAUAAACGAUUUACAAAGGCCAGAGGCUCCCGCCUUGGGACAGACGCAAAAAUGCGGCGAGGUUAAACAUGUUUAGGAAUAUCUCAACCCUCAAGCCAAUGUAGAAAAAACACACCGCAAUACGCACAGUAAAACUCAGAAUAAUAUGUGAAAAUUAAUCAAGUCCGUCACGAUAUAAGAUUUAUUCAAUAAAGGACAGUUGUCCAGAUUGUAUUUUUGUCGAGCCUGCGACUUUGUCGCAGAAAGCUCGACAUAGGGAUAGUGAUCCGGCGGAGGCGGCGGCGUUAGCUCAAAUCUUAAAAGCUUUAUUUUUUAGAAGGUGGAAGACCUGAAUGCUUCAUACUUUGUAUAUGGAUGCCUCAUGUUACGAAGUUUCCGUCAGUCACAUGUCCAAUGUCCUUGACCUCAUUUUCAUGGUUCAGUGACUACUUGAAAAAAAAGUUAAGAUUUUUGGAAAUGUUAAUUUCUCUCUUAUUAUAAGUAAUAGGAUAACUAUAUUUGGUAUGUGCGUACCUUGCAAGGUCCUCCUGCCUGUCAGACAGUUUAUACUUCACCUCGACCUCAUUUCAUGGAUCAGUGAACAAGGUUAAGUUUUGGUGGUCAAGUCCAUAUCUCAGAUACUAUAAGCAAUAGGUCUUAUAUAGUCGGUGUAUGGAAGCACUGUAAGGUGCACAUGUCCAACUGGCAGGUGUCAUCUGACCUUGACCUCAUUUUCAUGGUUCAGUGGUUAUAGUUAAGUUUUUGUGUUUUUGGUCUGUUUUUCUUGUACUGUAUGCAAUAGGUCUACUAUAUUUGGUGUAUGGAAUGAUUGUAAGGUGUAAAUGUCUAGCUGGCAUGUGUCACCUCACUUCUAGUUCUUGUUGCCACAGUUUCAAUUUCAGUGGUCAAAGUAAUUUUUGAGUUCAUUUUUUUUUUCUAAUACUAUAUGCAAUAAGUCAACUAUAUUUGGUGUAUGGAAAUAUUUUAUGAUCUAUAUGUCAGUCAUGCAGGUUUUAUUUGACCUUGACCUCAUUUUCAUGGUUCAUUGCUCAGUGUUAAAUGUUUGUGUUUUGGUCUGUUUUUCUUAAACUAUAAGCAAUAUGUCAACUAUUUGUGGUAUAGAAGAAUUGUUAGCUGUACAUGCCUGCCUGGCAUGGUUCAUCUGACCUUGACCUCAUUUGAUGGUUCAAAGGUCAAUAUUUAGUUUUUUCUUGGUUGAUUAUGGACUAUCAACAUAAUAUCAAUGAUUAGUAAAGAAGGCGAGACAUAUCAGUGUGUGCACUCUUGAAUCCUCGGCAAAAAAAAGACAAUCCACAACUUAAUGCAAAGAUAUUGACGACAGUAUGAACUAGACAUGUCUGAACAUAUAUAAACAAAGGAGAAAGAUCUGUAAACAUAUGAAUCGUUAGAACCAGGAAUCAAAAUUAUGUAAUCUUCUUAUCUGUCAGUCAAACCAUACACACAUUUUGCUAAAAUGAUAUCUAAAGGUGUGAAAGCAUAUACAUUCCUACUAACAGCAGUUCAUUUGGAAACUUUGUUUUAAUGAAUGAUAUAAUAUUUGUUCUUUUUGGAAAACAUUUAAUUGUAAAAAAAGAUGAAUUUCAUCAUCACAACAUCGUUUAUAUUGUUUCUUUUACUACACUGACUUCUGAACACAUACCAGUGUGUCAUGGAAUAAAUGUUAGUUCAAAUGGCGAAAACAUUCUGGAAUAUUAUUUCAACUAGAAAAAAAUGUGUUCCUAACGGAAAAAAGGUGGAAAUAUUUUUUUCUCCAAAAAUAACAAAUAUAAACUGGCAACUGCAAAAGCACACAAUAUAUAUCUAAUUAAAUAAAGGCAACAGUAGUAUACCGCUGUUCAAAACUCAUAAAUCCAUGAACAAAAAACAAAAUCGGGGUAACAAACUAAAACCGAGGGAAACGCAUUAAAUAUAAGAGGAGAACACCGAAACGCAACACACACAGAAACGGACCAAGCAACAGACAAAACACCACGAGAAUAACAAAUAUAACAGCAAAACCAAAUACGUGAAUUUGGGAUAGACAAGUACCGUGCCACGUCUUAUCUCAAUAUCUCAAAAAUAAGAGAAAACACAAACGACUCAACGUUAAAAUGCAACACACACAGAAACGAACAAUAUUAUAACAAUGGCCAUCUUCCUGACUUGUUACAGGACACUUUUAAAGGGGAAUAAAAGUGGUGGGUUGAACCUGGUUUUAUGGCAUGCCAAACCUCGCACUUUAAUGGCAAAGUUAAAUAUAACAUUGAAAUGACAACAUAAUAUUACAGAACUACAAUACAAAUAAAUAGGAGAACGUAUUAGAAACACACGAACAACAUUAUUAGACAAAGAAAAACAUGAUGAAUAGAUAACAAAAGGCAUCAGGUUUAAAAUUCAAUACGCCAAAAACGCGUCUUGUCCACACAGACUCACCAGUGACGCCGAGAUAUAAAAGUUUGAAAGUGAAAAAGUACAAAGUUGUACAGCACUGAAGAUAAAAAGUUGAAAAGGUUUUGCCAAAUACGGCAUUGUUUGUAUGCCCGGGAUAAGAACAUACUUAUUAUAUAGAACAAUUCAUGCUAUUGCAAACAGUAAAUUUUAUCAAAUGAAUAUGAAAGAGAUAUACAUAAUUAAACUUUAAAACACGCAAAAAAGUAUCUUGAUCAAAUACUAAAAAAUUUGGAGAGGGAUACAAAAAAAUCAUAAAAUAAAAUGAUCGUUUACUUCUGAUUUCAGAUGAUACAGUGAUGCAUCAACACAUGAACUAUGACAUUUACCCUUGGCUGUUGGCCUCGGUGAAUAACAUAUCUCUGGAGUUAUUAAAUCAUUGUAUCAAUCUACUCAAUAGUCAAUAAUUGUAUAUUGUCUGAAGUAUUGACAUUGUAUCAGAAUAAUGUCAUUUUCCAAAGCUUUUAUUUAUGCUAGUAAUGCGACAUGGUGAAAAUCGCAAUAAUAAGAACUCGCAUUCUGAUAUCUGAUACAUAUAUCUGUAUACAGAUUUUCCUGAAAUCCAAAUUAUAAAUUUCCCACUAAAGAGUAAACAGUUUUAUACAAAUGCGAGUUCAUGGUUUGUUUAAUUAAUUAACAGAUGAAUACACAUACGAUGUAUUUGAAGUAUUGACAUUAGAUUCUGAAUAGUGUCAUGAAUUUAAUAUAGUUACUUAUAUGAUAUGACCAAUGUUGAUAAUUGUUUUAUAAUUUCGAUGUAUAAUUUUUAGGCCAUUGGAAGAUUAGGUGGACAGGAUAUGAAGGAGGAGUGUGAUCUACUAAGAACCAAAACACUGGACCAGACAAAUAAAGAAAUUCUGAUGGAUAUCAAUCGUUCUAAUGAUGAAAUCAAGGAAUUGAAAGAAUCACUCGACAGUUUGAAAAGAUCACAUGAAGUGCUCGAAGAAGCUCAUACAGAAAUACAAAGAUCUUAUACGGACCUUCAAGUCGACCAUGUAGAAAUUAAAAAAGAAGUGCACAGGUUGAAAAUUGUUCAAGAUGACACAGUUCCAUGGAAUACUAGAGGUACAAU